GGGGGGGAGAGCUAGGUCUACGCUGGAGAGAGGGCGAGGCGGCGGCGGGGAUGACGAGGCGGCGGCGGGGGAGCUAGACAAAGGACACCGGUCUAGGCCGGCCCCCUCGGUGGCAUCUCGGAGGUGCAGCAGCCUCGUCUCGUCGGGCUCCACACACAGCUAGAGCAGGGCGUCUAGCGGCCGCCCCGGUGCUGGUGGAGUAAGUGACAGCGCCACCACGAAGAGGGACGCAGCGGUAGCAACCAAGCGGAGUGGGAGGAGUGGGGCAGCCGACGUUGGCGAGGAUGGGAGGUACCACGAGGAGAAGCCGUAGGUGGCGUCCGGUCACUCGCCGGUGCUAGUCCCUCCGGAGAUGGAGCUGACGUUGGCCAGUACCAGCAGAGACGCGGCGGCGGGGGAGCGUAGCGUGGCAACGGAGCACAUCCUGAUGCUCGUACCCUGCGAGCCAGCUCCAAAAGAACAGAGCAGUCCUAAGAGCACGACGUUUAAAUCAUUGCCCCGUUUGAAAACCCACAGGAUUAAACAAACGCCUAACUACUCUUAAACCGCUCCCUCUAGUAUUUGGUGGCGAGCGACGCCGUGUAGUUAACAACUUAAGCGAACUUCCUCCACAGAAAGGAGAGACAAGGGAACUCAGUUAGUGGUACUAAAUUGUAGCUCUACUACAAAGAAGAAGUUGUCCCUACUGCUUGUUGUACCUUGUUCCUCCUUGAAAUGUAGCUCUGUUACAAAGGAGAGAUGGUAAGAGAAAGGAAAGGCUCGGCAAGUGUUAGCAAUCUCUCCACCUGUAACUAACCCUCCCUCCCAUUCUCCGGAGUCUAGCACCUAGGAGAAACUAGGUCUGGAGGAGCUGCGGAACGCGCGGCAGUAGAUGCGUAUGUGGGUGCGCGAGCCCACGCUUCACAGGUGUGUACGCGGGCUGACCCUACUCGAGCCGUACGAAGACGGCCCGGUUUGCCGCGGUACGGGGACAACAACACCUGGACACCACCAUGUAGUCGCUUCUACUACUACUCCACCGCGGUGGGCUACGAGGUAGUGCGGAACGCGUCCCCACGUUCGUUCCACCGGAUCAAGUAGUACACACCGCGUACCCCACUAGCCGACCAACGGUAACCGAGAUACUUGUACCGGGCUGGCGACGGUAGUGACACUUGGCGUACAACAAGGAGUCUACGUUGUUUUUACUGAAGAACCCAAGUGACAUGAAAGAUUUGCCAACAUUGAAAAAAACGAAGACUUCACAGUAUCCUAUGGUUUUUAGACCUACUAUAUAAUCAGUGGAUGUCAGAAACUGUUCUUAACUAGGUUUCCUGCUUUUGAAUAUUUAAGGAGUUCGUGUAUUUGAUGUCCUUCAACCUUCGUCUCUUUUACCUAACCCUGUUCCUCGGUCUGUCUCCUACUCCUCCCCGAGUCGCCUUGUUUACCGGUUCCUCUUUUUUCAUCGAUAGCGGUGUUCGUAGUUCUAUACACCCGAAGUACAUUGAGUACGAAGGAUGGUUAUACAAAAAGUAUUAAAGGUAACUUGUGGAGUUUACUAGACUCGAACAGACAAUAAAAAACGACUUGUCAGGUGAGGCGUGGUGUACUCUUUAGAUGUAUAAAAAAAACAAUAUUAGUCUAAAUAAGAGAUCGGUUCUUAAUACUGAUUAAAGAGUCCGGACUUCUUGGUCAUAUAUUAGUAUCAAAGAAUUAAUCAAUCCCUACAAAGCCGUUAACAAAAAUGGUGGUGAUAAUUAGUGUUACAAGACAAACAACAUCCGUAGUAAAUGAUAGGAUGUAUUAUGUAGCCAUUCAACUCCACACAGACUCAUCGGAAGCGAUAGGUUUAUCAAAUAUUAGGAAAAUACGUAGAACAACACUCUGACAAUAAAAGAAUUAAAUAAUUACGAACUACCAAGAACGCCCGUACCGAUAAUGCCUUCUAUACUAGUCUGUAUACUCAGUUCUAUCACUCCCUCAUUAUCAAGAACGUAUACUUUCACCUUGGAACAUCGUACACCCAAACAUUUUUAUCAGUAAUACUCUUACGGACGUUUACAAGUACUAAUUGUAUAAACGUAUAAAACUACUUUACACUAGGAACUUUGAUAACACGUGCCGGAAACAAACAUCCUUAUAGAUCCCACCUGUUUACUGACCGAAGUUUCGUGGUAUUGUUGAAAGGAACGUAUUUCUUUGGUGUGGAGGAUUUUAUUACCUGUAGACGUCGUCGUUUUAUUGACAACUAGUAAUAAUAAAGGAGGUUUUAUCAACGAGUAAUAAAUUGAAGGAUUGAACUUUUUAUGCUGUCCUGAACUACUUUGACUAGAACGAAUGUUUAAACUGAGUUUUCAAAACAAGACGUAAAACAUCCUGUUUAUUCUGUCACAAAUUAAUCCACCUGUAUUAUAUGAACCACGAAAAAAAACGCCCUAUUAUAUGAACCACGACUAGAAAGAUCUUGCAAAUCGUUAAAUCACAAUAAAAGUGUCUAUUUUUCUCUUGGUUGACCGAUCGGAUAUGUUAAAACCACUGUGCUGUUUAAUUUCAUGAUUCCGCUGUUCCAUAUACGGGCUAUAUGACGUUAAAGACGUUCAAAUGGUCUUAUACACUUAACCUGUUAGUUAAUCUAGGUUCUGUUCUACAGAUGAAAGCUUUGAUGACAAACCUUAAGUUUAUAAAUUUCGUUAAUCCUUAAUUUUAAAGACAAGUAAGUAGGUCUACAGAUGCCUAGUUAAAUAGUUUGGUGAUUACUUUUGCUCCCCCACUAUUCCCUGUAGCUUGUGUUUAUAAUUUCUUAGGGUAACUCGAUACCCUUGACGCCGUUACUUGCUGCCCCUUCGGUAUCUACGUGUAGCUGGAUACCAACAGGGAAGAAGGCGUUACCGGUCGAUGGAGCCGAGCCACCAUUGCGCCCGGGCGAGACGCCCUCGUCCCUCCUGAUCCGUCGUCACUGUCUCCCGGGACGCGAGGACUGGGCACUUCAAAUAGAGGUCACAACCAACUAGAAAUCAAAUAAGGGUCGACGUUUAAAAUGACUUUACUUGGUGUUAUGUCUACCAAAUCCGGGACAAACCUACUGUCGGUCACCGACGGGAAGGUUUUAUAACCAGCCGUCCGACCGCACACAAACCAAGUGCCGGUUUUAAAGCCUAGAGUUGGUUAAUAAACCAAUGGGCACAAUAAGACGUCGUCGCACGCCCGCUCAAGGGCCGCCGUGUAAGGGAACAAAACCGCUCCGACCGAACCCGUGGUAGGUUUGUCGGGGAAUGAGGGAAUAAUAAAGGAACCUCACCGCAUGUAAAUGGAAACGUUAACCCUUCGUUCUAGACUUUCAAGUCAAAGUCAAAACACCAUGUUCGAACUUUGUAACCGUAUAUCAUAACAGAAUAUUUUCUAAUCUACGAGGGCGAAAGUCUCUCGACUAGUAUGUAUAGAACGAACUAAACUACAACGAGACACAAUAAUACAUGCAGAGCCGGCUUUAAUUAUCCUUCCUCUCCGUGAGGUUCUCUAGCAUACAUUCAUGUUUAGGAUAUCGAUAAAACAAAUGGAAUCCUCGUCAUGGUUAGACCUUUGUACAAAGAUUAGCUCAUUUUGAACUUUGUACAUACCUACCUAUUUAAAAUCAUAAACUAGGAAAAUAACUUUUUAGUAUAUUGAAUGCUAGAAUACCUCAAAUCUCUACGAAUAGGACAAGAAAUACCGAAUUUAAGGUAGUUAUCAAGACAUUAUAUCAAAACGGGUCUAUCCUACGUAAUAUACUUUUAUUCUACAUACGUUUUUGAAACGUCAUUCACGAAGAUAUAACCUCCUUCGGUUUUACUAUCUCUUGAGUUUGCGAACCCCAUAUCUCUAGUCUAUUCUAAAUGAAGAAACAACAACAAAACGAAACAAAUGUGACCAGAGUGGUUUAUAAUACUCGAAAAAAAUCGAGCAUAACCCAGGCACACACUUCUCACUUUCUGAAAUCGAACGAUUAAAUAAAAAUGUAGACAAGUAAUCCUGGAGUAGUUUCCACUAAUACUACGUACUAAUUGUACUAAAUAUCUCUAGACAAACCUCGAAUCAUCCGGACUUGUGCGAGUGCAAGUAAUUCUACUAAAACCUUGCACGAAAGGAGAGCUACUGUGGUAAAAAGGCGAUCGUUACGUGCGUCUCGGGACUCGGGACGUACCAACCAGCACCGUAGGAACCACUGUCGAGUAAUCCUGGAGUGGUUUCCACUGCUGCUACACCGAACGGUACCGUAGCGGCCGCUUCCUCGCGUGGCCACGCCCUGCAGCGUCAGUGAUCUCUACUGCCGUCCCAAAUCUCCCAAACGGCCGCUGUCUCCACGGCUGAGCCCAUCCCCGGCUACUCCAUCACACACUGUUGUGAACGACCAGCACCUACCACCACCCUUCACCAACCCGUCCAUAUCCACCCACCCAACAAUCUCACCUGCUUCUUUUUCCAUCCGCCGUCCUCCUUCUCUUAUCAUCGAUGUUGUCCAACAGCGGCCACAUCCUCUCCGCGCCCCCCAAUUGUCUGAACUCACACCCCACGUACUACAGCGCCCGUGAUAUUUACUAAUACCCUCUCCACUCGCCCAACACCUGCUUUUUUUCGUCGCUACUCUCCUUCUUCUUCUUGGCCAUCGUCUCCACCCAGCAGUAACCGCCUAUUCUCCAUCCCCUAAUUACCUAAGCUCACGUCCCAUAUACUCCAGAGUCCACUGAGGCACUGCCUCUACUGCCGACGUAAAUUUCCCUACCGGCCACGUAGUACAACAUCAUAAAACAAACGUGUUAGGUAGGGCUCUUUUGUAUAUUUAUUUUCUUUAACCAAUUUAAUACAAUCUUUAUGGAUAAACCCACCUCUAUAUUCCUUCUGACGUAGAGUACUGUCAACGAAAGGAAACAGCUAUAACAUCGUAUUCUUAUGUUUAAUAAAUGUGAACGGACGUCGAGUACUUACCAACCAACAAUAAGGAAACUGGUACUAUAACAAUAAUGAAUUUACAAGAUUAUAUAACAUGUUUCGAAGGUAAAUACAGAAGUCUUUUUAGUGGCUAUUUUUUUUCUCGAGAGUUUAUAUAUAAAAUCGAGUAAUCUAGUCAACAUCUUUAGUACACGGUAAAAAUACAAGUACAGUAGUAAACUAAUAUAAACGGUAUUGAGCUGAACCGCGAGAAGUUGUAUGUGAUGUUCCAGAGAUUAAAGAGACUUAUGAGAAAUGUUAAGAAUUACGUUAGGAAAGUCGCCCUAUUUUUAUAUAAAUGAGUUUACUACGGAUAGCAGCGAUGUGUUUUAUAGUAAUGAAAAGUGAGAAUUCCUCUAUGAAAUUGGUUGAUAAGGAUCUUAAAAUUAUACCCUAUACGUAAGAAGAAAACAACUAUAGAAAAUAAUACAACUAUGCAGACUAAGCCACCUGAUCGUAUCGUUUACAUUUACACUUACACUUCCACCUAAGGUAGUUUAACAGAUACGUCCAAUCACAACAGGGACUACGAAAUAUGUCUGCACAAGUUUAUAGAAAGUAACCUGUCUGGAGACUGCACUAGUAUAACGAUAAAAGUAGAAAACCUAAACGUAUAUUACAACUGUGGUGUACACUUAGACUUCGGUGAACACGAUUCGUAAGGGACCAAACGGUCGAACACACAAAGUGAUUACCUCUUCCAUACUUAGACAAAGAAAUUACACGUCCACACGUGUGUGGAAGGUAGUGAUUACCUCAACUUACACUGGCCCCAGCGCGACGAUUUCGUGACGUAGAAGACGCCACGUGCACCCCUGAUCUACAUAGUUAUCACUACUUCGUUCCACUCACCCUCGAGAUCUUAAAGUACAAUUAAACUCGACAACUGACCCGGCAAAGACAACAACUUAAUGAUCUAAUCCAAGACCACAGAACCAGACGUCCGCACGCACUCGAGACCGUACCUCUCGAAGUAUUCACAGAAACUCACGUGACCUACCCUCUCAAUACAAUGAGCGAGUGGGUACCUCAAGAGGUUUUAACAGACAACGAAGGAUGAGAGGCCCUAGUAGAAAUUGACUAAAUUAAACAGGGUUCAACACCAUUAAGUCCUCUCUCUGUUGCAGCAGUACAACCAGCGACUCGUUCGUCUAGUCUCGUGUUUGUGCCCUCAAUAGGCUGUUGUUGCUGCUGGUGCUGUAGCAAGGUGAAUCUGAAUCUCCGUUCUCGUUACUAAGGUGGCCGUCGUCUCUAGUUGUUCAAGAAGAGGUAGCCUCUCAUUUACGAAGUGGCGGUUGAUUCACUGUUGAAUUGAUUUUCUUCAUGUUUAACCUGUAGUACACUCCGCACUGCGAGUUUAGGCCGUUCCUUCUAACGCCGGCACGUGCAUCUUACCUUUUCCACGGGUGUGUUACUUUUGUUCAGACCUUUUCCUCCAAUCGACUAAUUAGUGUCUGUAUUGCGUUCUCAAUACCAUGUCUCUUUCUUGAAGAAGUAAGUCCUAAUGUGCACAGUACACAGUAUCUGGUCGUAACCUCCGUUCCCUAGUGAACAUGAAGCAUACGGGAAAACGUUUUGAGACAACCGUUAUACAAACAGGAAGUACCUUGGGAGGGAUGACCCUGUCUAUAAGUUCUGCUUCAACGGGUAGCGUUUGUCAACGAUUUAGACGGAAAACGGUACCUGUAAUAAUAUGACUAGAGUACCCGUUAAACCUGGUGUUCCUUGCUGAAGUAGAAGUUCGUGUAAGGAGGUUUAGAGAUAUUAACGUCCGCAGCUAAAUUCCUCCUUCAUUUUACCAAAUGGAUGUGCCGAUUCUCUUUCCUCGAGUGACCGGAGUACCUAACCCAAGUCCAAAAGUCUAUGUUGUGAGCUAUCGAAACAACAUACACAACAUAAAAGACGGAAACAAACAAAACGAAAAACAUGAAAGGAAAACCAACAUACCUAAUAAAAACAAAACUUGGAGUGGUAGAUGAGGGAAACAGGCUUUUUCGAACAGGGUUCGAACAGGUAGUUUACUUACAUAGAUCGUCAUUAAACCACGAUCUAUGUAGGUAAGCUCCCUGUGUGAAAAAGCCUACCUCCCUCAUGUAGAAUAAACUUUUAGUUAUUUUUUUUGUGACAAAGGG
rnacentral:rRNA from 1 species